AGCGUACGGUAGACCCAAGCUGUAUACAUAAUUUAAAGAGCUUACCUGAUUUCGUCAUGACAAUUAAACAUUUGAUAAUAACGAGAGUCUUCAAGUCACACAAGCUUUUCAAUGACUUCACACAAGGUCAUAGAAUAAAUGAAGAAUCGUAGUGUAAACACCGCCGGGAUCAUUUCAAAUUUGGCGCUUGAAUUGGAGAGAGAUGUGGACAUUUUGACAAUUACAAUUACAAUGGCUUAUAACUUAGUUUUACAUGUUCAUGCUUCUUUAUAUUUCACUUGUUUUAUUUUGUAUUAGAACAGUGUAAUAUGAGAGAAGCUGGAGUAAUUGGGAAAUGUAAUUUGUAAGUGGGUAGUGGGUACAGGGUACGUAUUCCACUAUAGUAGUCCACGCUGGCAUGGGAGAGUGAGUAGACGUUAGAUACACGGAGAGGUGGUGUUUGAAGGGCGCGUGUGUGCAGCUGCCUUAUUUAACCUCGAUUUUCUCUCAAGACGGUGACACGUGCCAGUGGAAGCUUAAUGGCUGCCGGAAGGUGGUCGUGAGGGCCAGAAACACUUAUAAUAUUGACAAGUGACCCACCAGCUGCUUGGCCAGCUGGGGACUGGUCACAGACGCCAUGGUGCAAUAGGAGACUACCCCAUCCCGUGCCUCCCGCCCUGCCCCACCCAGAUGCCAUGGCCCGGCAGCGACACCAUUCCACCUGCUACAUGACGCUGGCUGACGCACUCCUGACGUGGCAGCGACAGGAGGCGGAGGGCAGGAGCAAGAGUCGGAUGGUGAAGAAAGGCGUGAUGGCGGAGGUGGUGGCUGUGGAGGGUGUUCGUGCAGGGUACCUCAGCAGGGUCUAGGUUAGAGCAAAUGGAUGAUGAGAGACUAGUGAGAAAGGUGUUUGUAUGGAAUAUUAGGAGUAGCAGUUGGGGGAAGAAGUGUGUUAGGAUGGUAGUAAAGAGUGGCUUGGAAACUAGUUGGGCUUUUGAGUGGUUGAGUGAAGGCUUGUUGAGAGUGACGGAAGUACGAGUGUCAGAUAUGGAGAGCGUUUACAAUGGUAUGUAAGUAAGUGGAGAAGUGAGAUAGACACAGCAAUGAAGCACAUGGGAUUGAGUGAGCCAGGUGUGGAAAUUGUGGGAUGGAGCGAGCCAGGUGUGGAAAAGUGUGGAAAUUGUGUUGAAAAAGUGUAGAAAUUGUGGGAUUGAGUGAGCCAGGUAUGGAAAUUGUGUAGAAAAGUGGAAAAAGUGUGGAAAAAGUGUGGGAAUUGUGUUGAAAAGUGUGAACAUUGUGGGAUUGAGUGAGCCAGGUGUGGAGGAGUGAGACAGACAGAGCCAUGAAGCACGUGGGGUUGAGUGAGCCAGGUGUGGAGGAGUGAGACAGACAGAGCCAUGAAGCACGUGGGGUUGAGUGAGCCAGGUGUGGAGGAGUGAGACAGACAGAGCCAUGAAGCACGUGGGGUUGAGUGAGCCAGGUGCGUCACUUGGGGACGACUGUGAGCCAACCCAGGACCAACGGCUGAUGACGCUCAAUGAUGGAAUUAGAAGCUGCAUGAAUUGUUUAUGUAGAUUUUAGAAGCUGUCUGAAUUGUUUAUGUAAAUCUGAAGCACUUACUUUGAAUUGAAGGCUUGGGCCAUGUAAUUGUAAUUCUUCUGUACCAUUGUCAUAAGUUCCUUAGAUAACUCACUACAGUUUUGUCUCUAUCUAAUAAUAUGUACAUUUACUCAAACUGAAUUUUCUUUCAGUGUGCAGGUUUGCAGUAAACCUCCCUGAAGGUUCCAGAGCUGCUCAGCAAGUGCCCAGUCCAGGCUGUCACAAGACUGUGUGAUGGUGGACCUUCCAAUGAUACUCACUGAAAACAGCUGUGCACUGCCACUCACAGGAAAUGACUACCCCAUCCCCUGCCUCCCUGCCCUGCUCCACCCAGAUGCCAUGGCCCGGCAGCAACACCAUUCCACCUGCUACACAACGCAGGCUGACGCACUCCUGACGUGGCAGUGACAGGAGGCGGAGGGCAGGAGCAAGAGUCGGAUGGUGAAGAAAGGCGUGAUGGCGGAGGUGGUGGCUGUGGAGGGUGUUCAUGCAGGGUACCUCGGCAGGGUCUAGGGCCUGAUGUGAAGGUGUCUGCAGCCAGUGUUUGGUGUCCUCUGUGCCUGCCUGGUGGUGCCUCAUUGCAGGGCCUGAUGUGAAGGUGUCUGCAGCCAGUGGUGGUGCCUCAUUGCAGGGCUGAUGUGAAGGUGUCUGCAGCCAGUGGUGGGUGUCCUCUGUGCCUGGUGGUGCCUCAUUGCAGGGCUGAUGUGAAGGUGUCUGCAGCCAGUGGUGGUGCCUCAUUGCAGGGCUGAUGUGAAGGUGUCUGCAGCCAGUGGUGGUGCCUCAUUGCAGGGCUGAUGUGAAGGUGUCUGCAGCCAGUGGUGGGUGUCCUCUGUGCCUGGUGGUGCCUCAUUGCAGGGCUGAUGUGAAGGUGUCUGCAGCCAGUGUUUGGUGUCCUCUGUGCCUGGUGGUGGUGCCUCAUUGCAGGGCUGAUGUGAAGCUGUCUGCAGCCAGUGGUGGGUGUCCUCUCUUCCUGGUGGUGCAGCCUGAUGUGUUGCCUGCUUCAGUGUAAAUCUUGCAAGCCAGAUCUGCCAGCUGUCUCCAGUGUAGUAGUCUAGGGUGAUUUGCUUUGUGUCUUUGGCAAUAAAUAAAUUUGUGAGUAUCAUUCUCAUGUGAAUUAUAUAGUUUGAUAAAAUUACAGAAUGUGCUUGUGUAAACUAAAUUUAUAUAUUGGUGGUAAACAAUUCAUGCAUCCCCAAGUAAAUAAAUAAAAUAAAUAGGACCCAAAACAAUAGAUACAAUAGAUCAUCCUCUGGUCAAAAAAAAAAAAAAGCCAGGAUUGGCUGGCCUAUUUUUGGUGAUCAUCCUCUGGU